rnacentral:lncRNA from 1 species
UCUUUUAUGAUAUUUUAUUAAAGAAAUUAUCUAAUAAAAAUUUGACACUAAUAAGUAGGGGACCAACAUUAGUAUUUAACAAUAUUAUUUUAUUUUCAUUGACUUCAUAUACAUUAUCACACCAUAUCGUAAGUUUUUUUUUUAGCCUUGUUUUUGGAUCCCAAAAAUUUAAUAAAGGUAAAUCCCGAAAGGUUGAUCUAUAACAAUUAAAGGAUGAAUGUUAAUAAGAAAAAAAAAAGGAUUAUGCAUGAAAUUAUGCAUUUUAAUACAUAAAUAAGUUCGCCUACAGAAACUCAGACGUGAAGUUCCUUGCAAGUUGCGAACAGAUAAUCAAAGUUACAAGAUUAAAGGCAUUGGCAUGUAGAAAUGCUUCAAGAAUAGGCAAUGGCACACCACACACAGUGGAUUCUUUAAUUACAAAUAAAAAAUUCUUGUGACUGAUGUGGAGGUGCCUUUGCCCUGCCCUUGCUAAAUCUUGUGAAGAAGCCCGUUAACUCAAACAAGGAUCUUGUGUACAUGUUAAAUGGGCCCGAGAUCAUCAAAAAGCGAUAAAGAGAGGUGUCACUUGUCAGCAUCACAACAUUGAUCAAAAUGUUUCAUUCGAAGCUUGUGAAAUUGCUGUAGGACAAGAGAAAAUGGCGUGAAAGGGUUGAGAUGAUUUUAAUAUUAGGGUGUAGGGAAGAGAAAAAAAGGCAUUAUUGAUUUCAGU